rnacentral:tRNA from 1 species
GCCCCCAUAGUCUAGAGGCCUAGGACGCCACCCUUUCAAGGUGGAGAUCGCGGGUUCGAAUCCCGCUGGGGGUACCG